rnacentral:rRNA from 2 species
UGGCGAACGGGUGAGUAACACGUGAGUAACCUGCCCUUGACUUUGGGAUAACUUCAGGAAACUGGGGCUAAUACCGGAUAGGAGCUCCUGCUGCAUGGUGGGGGUUGGAAAGUUUCGGCGGUUGGGGAUGGACUCGCGGCUCAUCAGCUUGUUGGUGGGGUAGUGGCUUACCAAGGCUUUGACGGGUAGCCGGCCUGAGAGGGUGACCGGCCACAUUGGGACUGAGAUACGGCCCAG